rnacentral:tRNA from 1 species
GCCUGGCUGGCUCAGUCAGUAGAGCAUGCAACUCUUGAUCUCAGGGUUGUGAGUUCAAGCCCCAUGUUGGGCA